GAUGAACGCUGGCGGCGUGCCUAAUACAUGCAAGUCGAGCGAACGGACGAGAAGCUUGCUUCUCUGAUGUUAGCGGCGGACGGGUGAGUAACACGUGGAUAACCUACCUAUAAGACUGGGAUAACUUCGGGAAACCGGAGCUAAUACCGGAUAAUAUUUUGAACCGCAUGGUUCAAAAGUGAAAGACGGUCUUGCUGUCACUUAUAGAUGGAUCCGCGCUGCAUUAGCUAGUUGGUAAGGUAACGGCUUACCAAGGCAACGAUGCAUAGCCGACCUGAGAGGGGGAUAGGCGACACUGGAAGUGAGACACGGUCAAGACUCCUACGGUAGGCAGCAGUAGGGAAUCUUACGCAAUGGGCGAAAGCCUGACGGAGCAACGCCGCGUGAGUGAUGAAGGUCUUCGGAUCGUAAAGCUCUGUUAUUAGGGAAGAACAUAUGUGGAAGUAACUGUGCACAUCUUGACGGUACCUAAUCAGAAAGCCACGGCUAACUACGUG
rnacentral:rRNA from 1 species